UAUGGAACCCUAUGAUGCCAGUUAAAACUGGAACUUUCCAUAUAAAACUAUCUGAGCUGGUUAACAAAUGUACUGAACACAAGCACAGGUAAAAGGUGUCCUCAGCAACACAGAGGGCAUCACACACCAGGACAAGAAGCAUUUUGCAGUGACAAUGACUAUUUCAAGAAACAUUACCUUUCUGAGCAGUGUUAAUUACUUAAUUAUCACUUUAAAUACUUCAUAUCAAAAUGUACAAACAUUGAUAAGAAACUGGUCCUUGCCAGGUUGUCACAAGCCUUCAGUCUGGACAAACAGCAUUCCAGCAGCAUGCGUAAUGAAACAGAGCAGCAGUAACAGAUUCUCCAAAAUGAUUGGCCAAGGGAAGGGAUGAUAGAGUAUAUAAAGCCUGGGCUGAGUGACACCCAACAUAUUUAAAUGAAAUAUAUAUAUAUUAUAUUUUGUUUAUAUUAAAAACAUAUAGUAGAGGUUCUUCACAAUGACAACGUGCAGGGGAGGGAUCUAUCAACAAAAUUUUAAAAUGAGCAAAAAAUACAAGCUCACUUCAGAUAGUAAACCUUCUAUCCAAGGAGUUGGUGGAGGAAUAGCUUUGCCAAAUUUUGCAAAUCUUCUUGGUUAACAAUAAUUCUGCGAUCAAAACGGCAGAUUACACAGAACAAUUUGUUGUGUAUCAACCUUUUUUUCCACAAAGGAGGAUCUUCAUGAACAUGAACAACAAAGUUUGGUAAAAUCUGGGACUCCAAUAAAUAACAAAGAUCCCUCCCCCAACCCUGGCUCGAGUUCUGCUUCAUCUGUUGGUGAUGGAGUAACUAUUCAGAACGAGGGCCAGCAGCAGGAGGAGCCUGGAAGUCCGGAGAAUAAUAUGGAAUUAUAUGAAAUAAUCAAACAUGUUAUGCAAAAUAAGUAUCCUAAUUUUUUAAAUGAAAUAAAUGUGAAUAAUUAUAAUGAAAUAAAAGAGAAAAUCAACAGUUUCAUAGAAGAAAUAUCUAAUUUAAUAAAUCCUGACAAAUUAAAAUAUUCCGACAAAUCAAACAUCUUUAAACGCGUGAUGGAUGACUGGAAAAAAUUACAGGAAGCAGAAAAUCCCAUUUGUGUAAAAAGGAUUCCCAAAUUAAAGACAUCUAUAAUAAUAUUGCUAGUACGGAACUUGAUUUGGCCCCAAGGAGCAAUAAAUAGUAAAAUUCCAAUUUGUCUUGAUAAAUUUAGGAACCCAUUAUUUAACCACUAUUUAAACACUGGAGAAAAAAAUAAAAUAAAUCAGUAUGGAUUUUAUUUGAUCUUGAUGAAAGAUGGUACCCUAAUGUUUUCUGAAAAAAUUCCCCAAGAUUCAAAAAACAAAACCCAUAGUGAAGAAUUUAUAAUUAAAAAUUGGAUGAAUUUCUAUCAGAAAAUGGAAACGAGGUAAAAAAGUUUUUUAUAUAUUCAUAUAAUAGCCCGUGUUUAAAAAGGACUGACAACAAAACCCCUUGUAUGUUUCAGCUUUUGUGCAAAGCUUGUGAAUGGUACGAGAAGUAUCAAAUCUUCACUGAUGUUGCAUUCACACAUUCCUAUGGCAUAUGUGGCCCAAACUAUUUUAAUUAUCUUACAUUUGACGAAAUAUCAUGUCCCAACAGUGGUUUUAAUUCUUAUAUUGAAAAAUGUAAAAACACUAAAAGUGAAUUGGAAAAUCAAAACAAAUCAAAGCUUAUCAAAAGUAAGCUCUCCAAGGCAUUGGAUAAAGAGAAAAUUGAUAUAAAGACACUUAAAAAUGAUGAUAUUCAAACCGCAUGCAAUUUUUUAAAGAAGGCAGAAAGUUCAUUUGAUCUGCUUAAAGAUUUCUUGGUCAGUGGACCGGAAACUCACGUUUCCUUCAAAUCGCCACCAGAAGUACAGGCAGAAAUUUAUAAAAUAUUGAAGGAGAACAACACCUUUAUGCGAUCAAUGAAAAAGUGCAUUAGAGCAGAUUUAAACAAUGCGAUCCCUUUUGUUUUUAGAAAGAAAUUGGAGUCAAUUCUAGGAAGCAGAGGCUUCUUCCGCCUUCACCACAUUCCUCACAGUUUUCCCUGUUAAUUGAAUUAAUUGAAUAACCAAUACAAAAAAAAGUUUAUAGUCAAUCGGUUUUUGCAUUUACAGAAUACUCACUGCUAUUUGGAUGUAUUUGGAGGAAUAAUUCUGUUAUGUAAUUUCACAGCUAUCCAGUUGUUUUACUGUCAUCCUUCUAGCUCCUUGUAUUCAGUCCCCCUUUGCUUUAUUAAAACUUUCCUGUAAUACAACCA